GGGGCGGCCGGGACGAGGAGGGGCGACGACGAGCUGCGAGCAAAGAUGUGCCCCGGGACCCCCGGCACCUUCCAGUGGAUUUCCUUGCGGAAAGGAUGUUGGCGGUCCCUGUGACCUGUGGAGACACGGCCAGAUCUGCCCUCCAGAUUUAUUAGGAGAAAAACCUUCCCGGAAGCUGCAGAAGGACAAAUACAGAAUCCGUGUCUGGGAGAAACCUCGUGGCCUGGUCUCCAUUAUUUGAGAUGAGUUACAUCUUGGAGGCCUGAUCUUUUGGCCAGAAGGAGAUUAAAAAGAUGCCCCUCAAGAUGGCUGUGCCUGUCAGCUGCAUGGAGCUUCGUUCAAGUAUUUUCUGAGCCUGAUGGAUUUACAGUGAUCUUCAGUGGUCUGGGGAAUAACGCUGGUGGAACCAUGCACUGGAAUGACACACGCCCGGCACAUUUCAGGAUACUAAAAGUGGUUUUAAGGGAGGCUGUGGCUGAAUGCCUCAUGGAUUCUUACAGCUUGGAUGUCCAUGGGGGACGAAGGACUGCAGCUGGCUGAGAGGGUUGAGAUCUCUGUUUACUUAGAUCUCUGCCAACUUCCUUUGGGUCUCCCUAUGGAAUGUAAGACCCCGACUCUUCCUGGUGAAGCAUCUGAUGCACGUUCCAUCCGGCGCUCAGCUGGGCUUGAGCUGACCAUACUCCCUGGAGCCUUCUCCCGAGGUGCGCGGGUGACCUUGGCACAUACAGCCAUCAUGAUGGUACUUUAAGUGGAGGCUGAAUCAUCUCCCCUUUGAGCUGCUUGGCACGUGGCUCCCUUGGUGUUCCCCUUUUACUGCCAGGACACUGAGAUUUGGAGAGAAUCCUGUUACACCUGGGAUUUAGGCACUUUCAAUCUGAAAAAAUACAUAUCCUUUCAGCACUCUGGACGGACUUGAGAACUGUCCUUACGUGACCUAAAGCUGGAGUAUUUUGAGAUUGGAGAAUUAAGAGCCAGUCUUGGUGCUCUGUGUUCACCUGGUUCAUCUGAGGAGCUGCAUCUACCCUGCCCAUGCCAUAGAUCCUGCCCUGUUUGCUUCUCCUGUUGCUGCUAGUGGACAUGAGGUAACCACAGCCUAGUUCUGUGAUAAGCUCUUCACACCUGUACCCAUAUGGACUGUGGGAGAGUUUCUCUGAUAUGGACUGUGAUGCGGAAGGACAGAAUAACGGGCUCCCAGAUUCACAAGCCCCACCAAGAGGAUCACCCCAGGAACGCUUGGAGGCUGAGGAGUUCACUGAGGCUACUGCAUCUUGAGACUCAGGAUGAAGACCCAGCUUGGGGCUGUCAAAGGUUUUUUGCAUGUCUGACACCCAUGACUCCACCUGGACCUUAUGGCUCCACCCAGAAGCAAUUCAGCCCAACAGGAGGACAGCUUCAACCCAUUACGAUUUCAUCUCUGCCCCAACCACUCAGCAGCAAGCACCUGUUACCUGUCCACCCCCACCCCUUCCCCCAAACUGCCUUUGAAAAAUCCCUAACCUAUGAGCUUUGAAUAAGAUGAGUACGAACUUCAUCGCCCACGUGGCGUGGCCGGCCUCGUGUCUAUUAAAUUCUUUUUCUACUACAA
ensembl:lncRNA PVT1 Pvt1 oncogene